UACGUAGGUGGCAAGCGUUGUCCGGAAUUACUGGGGGUAAAGCGCGUGUAGGCGGCAGACCAAGUCGGCGGUGAAAGCGCCCGGCUCAACUGGGCGAGGUCCGUGGAAACUGGUCAGCUGGAGGACGGUAGAGGCGAGUGGAAUUCCCGGUGUAGUGGUGAAAUGCGUAGAUAUCGGGAGGAACACCAGUGGCGAAGGCGGCUUUCUGGACGGUGUCUGACGCUGAGGCGCGAAAGCCAGGGGAGCGAACGGG
rnacentral:rRNA from 1 species